GGGCGAAAGCCCGAAAACAAAAUGAAUCAAAACUUUCAACAACGGAUCUCUUGGCUCUGGCAUCGAUGAAGAACGCAGCGAAAUGCGAUAAGUAAUGUGAAUUGCAGAAUUCAGUGAAUCAUCGAAUCUUUGAACGCACAUUGCGCCCGCCGGCACUCCGGCGGGCAUGCCUGUCCGAGCGUCAUUUCAACCCUCAGGGCCCCCUUUCGGGGGCGGCACCUGGUUCUGGGGAUCAGCGGCCCUUCGGGGCCCCUGUCCCCCAAAUUGAGUGGCGGUCGCGCCGCAGCCUCCCCUGCGUAGUAGCACACCUCGCACCGGAGAGCGGCUCGGCCACGCCGUAAAACCCCCAAUUUUUACAGGUUGACCUCGGAUCAGGUAGGAAUACCCGCUGAACUUAAGCAUAUCAAUAAGCGGAGGAAAAGAAACCAACAGGGAUUGCCUCAGU
rnacentral:rRNA from 1 species